rnacentral:rRNA from 1 species
AUUGAACGCUGGCGGCAGGCCUAACACAUGCAAGUCGAGCGAGCGGCGGACGGGUGAGUAAUGUAUGGGGACUGCCCGAUAGAGGGGGAUAACUACUGGAAACGGUGGCUAAUACCGCAUACUAUCGGAUAACCCAUAUGGGAUUAGCUAGUAGGUGGUGUAAAGGCUCACCUAGGCGACGAUCUCUAGCUGGUCUGAGAGGAUGAUCAGCCAAACGAGGACUGAGACACGGCCCAGACUCCCACGGAGGCAGCAGUGGGGAAUAUUGCACAAGGGGCGGAAGCCUGAUGAAGCAGUGCCGCGUGUAUGAAAAAGGCCUUCGGGUUGGAAAGUACUUUCAGCGGUGAGGCGUUACUCGAAGAAGAAGCACCGGCUAACACCGUGCCAGCAGCCGCGGUAAUUC